rnacentral:rRNA from 1 species
CUUAAAGGAAUGACGGGGCCCGCACAAGCAGCGGAGCGUGUGGUUUAAUUCGAUGCUACACGAAGAACCUUACCAGGGCUUGACAUCCCUGACCGCGUAUGAAAGUACGUUUUCACCCUCGGGUGACAGGGAGACAGGUGGUGCAUGGUUGUCGUCAGCUCGUGUCGUGAGAUGUUGGGUUAAGUCCCGCAACGAGCGCAACCCCCGCCGUUAGUUGCCAGCGGUUCGGCCGGGCACUCUAACGGGACUGCCCGCGAAAAGCGGGAGGAAGGAGGGGACGACGUCUGGUCAGCAUGGCCCUUACGGCCUGGGCGACACACGUGCUACAAUGCCCACUACAAAGCGAUGCCACCCGGCAACGGGGAGCUAAUCGCAAAAAGGUGGGCCCAGUUCGGAUUGGGGUCUGCAACCCGACCCCAUGAAGCCGGAAUCGCUAGUAAUCGCGGAUCAGCCAUGCCGCGGUGAAUACGUUCCCGGGCCUU